GAUAUGGCUCAGGAUGAACGCUGGCGGCGUGCCUAACACAUGCAAGUCGAACGGACUUACAUUGAAGCCUAGCGAUAUGUAAGUUAGUGGCGGACGGGUGAGUAACGCGUGGGUAACCUGCCUUGUACUGGGGGACAACAGUUGGAAACGACUGCUAAUACCGCAUAAGCGCACAGCUUCGCAUGAAGCAGUGUGAAAAACUCCGGUGGUACAAGAUGGACCCGCGUCUGAUUAG
rnacentral:rRNA from 1 species